UACAGAGGGUGCAAACGUUGCUCGGAAUUACUGGGCGUAAAGCGCGUGUAGGCUGAUCGGUGUGUCGAGUGUGAAAUCCUUGAGCUCAACUUGAGAACUGCAUUCGAAACUGCCGAACUAGAGUACUGGAGAGGGAUGCGGAAUUCCUGGUGUAGAGGUGAAAUUCGUAGAUAUCAGGAGGAACACCGGUGGCGAAGGCGGCAUCCUGGACAGUUACUGACGCUGAGACGCGAAAGCAUGGGGAGCAAACAGG
rnacentral:rRNA from 1 species